rnacentral:rRNA from 1 species
CCUACGGGUGGCAGCAGUGGGGGAUAUUGCACAAUGGGGGGAACCCUGAUGCAGCGACGCCGCGUGGGUGAAGGAGUGCUUCGGCAUGUAAAGCCCUAUCUGCCGGGAAGAAGCAAGACGGUACCUGACUAAUAAGCCCCGGCUAACUACGUGCCAGCAGCCGCGGUAAUACGUAGGGGGCGAGCGUUAUCCGGAUUCACUGGGGUGAAAGGGAGCGUAGACGGCCAUGCAAGCCAGGUGUGAAAGCCCGGGGCCCAACCCCGGGACUGCCCUUGGAACUGAGCGGCUAGAGUGCGGGAGGAGCAGGCGGAAUUCCUGGUGUAGCGGUGAAAUGCGUAGAUAUCAGGAGGAACACCGGCGGCGAAGGCGGUCUGCUGGACCGCGACUGACGUUGAGGCUCGAAAGCGUGGGGAGCGAACAGGAUUAGAUACCCGAGUAGUC